rnacentral:lncRNA from 1 species
AUUUCAUGAGAGUUUGGGGUCAGAUGCUGAGAUUUGGGGUCAGAUGCUGAGAUUUGGGGCCGAUUGGGCUGAAUUUGGGGUCAGGUGCUGAGAUUUGGGGUCAUUUCGUGAGAGUUUGGGGUCAGAUGCUGAGAUUUGGGAUCAGUUCAUGAGAGUUUGGGGUCAGAUGCUGAGAUUUGGGGUCAGAUGCUGAGAUUUGGGGCCGAUUGGGCUGAAUUUGGGGUCAGGUGCUGAGGUUUGGGGUCAGUCUGUGAGAGUUUGGGGUCAGAUGCUGAGAUUUGGGGUCAGUUUGUGAGAGUUUGGGGUCAGGGCCGGAGAUUUGGGGUCAGAUGCUGAGAUUUGGGGCCGAUUGGGCUGAAUUUGGGGUCGGGUGCUGAGGUUUGGGGUCAGUUUGUGAGAGUUUAGGGUCAGAUGCUGAGAUUUGGGGUCCGUUUGUGAGAGUUUGGGGUCAGGAGCUGAGAUUUGGGGUCAGGUGCUGAGAUGUGGGGUGAAUUCAGUGGGAUUUGGGGUCAUUUCCUGAGGUUUUGGGGUCAGGUGCUGAGAUUUGGGGUCAGGUGCUGAGAUUUGGGGCCAAUUCAGCUGAAUUUGGGGUCAUUUCCUGAGAUUUGGGGUCGUUUUGUGGGAGUUUGGGGUGGAUUCUUUGGGAUUUGGGGUCAGGUCCUGCGAUUUUGGGGUCGAUCCCGGGGAUUUUGGGGUCACUUCUGUGCAAUUUGGGGUCGAUUCGGUUCCCAUUCCCCCCUCUUGGGGUCCCAAUCCCAAACAUUUGGGGUCGUUUCCUGGCAAUUGGGGUCCGCUGUGCCAAAUCCCAUUGAAUCCCCCCCAACUUCUGCCCCUAUUGGUGCCCCCCCUCCAAGUGCCUUCACCCACCCCAAAAAUGGGGGGGGUCCCCCGACCCCACAAUGUGCCCCCCCGACCCCACAAUCCACCCCUAAGACCCAUAACUCCCCCCCCCAGCCUUCCCCGACCCCAUAACCCCCCAGGUGCACCCCAACCCCACAAGGUGCCCCAUAACCCCCCCCCGACCCCUCAUCCUGACCCCACUAUGUGCCCCCCCCAACCCCAUAACCCACCCAUUAACCCUCCCCCAGCCCCCCCCCCCGACCCCAUAACCCCCCAAGGCGCACCCCAACCCCACAGUGUGCCCCAUAACCCCCCCCGACCAACCCCACAUCCUGACCCCAUAACCCCCCCCCAACCCCACAUCCUGACCCCACUUUGUGCCCUCCCCGACCCCACAACCCCCCAAGGCGCACCCCAACCCCACAAGGUGCCCCGUAACCCCCCCGAACAACCCCACAUCCUGACCCC